rnacentral:rRNA from 1 species
UACGUAGGGGGCAAGCGUUGUCCGGGAUCAUUGGGCGUAAAGCGCGUGUAGGCGGCCACGUUAGUCCGUUCUGAAAGCCCGGGGCUCAACCCCGGGAGGCGGAUGGAUACUGCGUGGCUCGAGUCCGGAAGAGGCGAGUGGAAUUCCUGGUGUAGCGGUGAAAUGCGCAGAUAUCAGGAGGAACACCAAUGGCGAAGGCAGCUCGCUGGGACGUGACUGACGCUGAGACGCGAAAGCGUGGGGAGCAAACAGG